rnacentral:rRNA from 1 species
UACGGAGGAUGCAAGCGUUAUCCGGAAUCAUUGGGCGUAAAGCGUCCGCAGGUGGUUAUUCAAGUCUGCUGUCAAAGCCCGGGGCUUAACCCUGGAGAGGCAGUGGAAACUGAAUGGCUAGAGUAUGGUAGGGGUAGAGGGAAUUCCAGGUGUAGCGGUGAAAUGCGUAGAUAUCUGGAAGAACACCAGUGGCGAAGGCGCUCUACUGGGCCAUAACUGACACUGAGGGACGAAAGCUAGGGGAGCGAAUGGG